rnacentral:rRNA from 1 species
AGUGAACGCUGGCGGUAGGCUUAACACAUGCAAGUCGAACGGCAGCACAGUAAGUGCUUGCUCUUACGGGUGGCGAAUGGCGGACGGGAGAGGAAUAAAACCGAACCUACUUUUUCGUGGGGGCUAACGGAGGGAAACUUACGCUAAUACCGCAUACGACCUACGGGUGAAAGAAGGGGAACAUAGGAUCUUGCGCGAUUGAAUAAGCCGAUGUGGGAUUAGUUAGUUGGCGGGGGAAAGGCCCACCAAGGAGACGAUCGGUAGCUGGUCUGCGAGGCUGGGCGGCCACACUGGAAUUGAAACGCGGUCCAGACUCCUACGGGAGGCAGCAGUGGGGAAUUUUGGGCAAUGGGCGCAAGCAUGGCCCAGCCAUACCACGUGGGUGAAAAAGGCCUUCGGGUCGUAAGGCCCUUUUGUUGGGAAAGAAAAGCAGCAGAUUAAUACCCCGCUGUACUGACGGUACCCAAUAAAAAAGCACCGGCUAACUUCGUG